ensembl:misc_RNA 7SK 7SK RNA
GGAUGUUAGGAUUAUCAGAUUGUGACAUGUCAUCCCAUUGAUUGACAAGGUUGAUUUGGCUGAUCUGACUGGCUAAGCAGGUGUCCCCUUUCUCUCUCAUUGCUCCAACUGUGCCCCUCCUGAAACUGUAGGCUCAGGUAAAGAGAACAACCCUCUCAAUAGAGCUUCACUCAAAAGUAUAUAAGUAGCUGUACUUCCUUGCUAGAACUUCCAAACAAGCACUCAAGGUCCAUCUGUAGGAGACCGUAGGGUUGUCAAGCUUCCAAGACCCCAGACUCCUCCAAAUGAGGCGCUGCAUGUGGCAGUCUGCUUUUCUUU